UCUCCGUAGGUGAACCUGCGGAGGGAUCAUUACAGAGUUCUCGCCCUCGCGGGUAGAUCUCCCACCCACUGUUAUCGUUACUGUGUUGCUUUGGCGGGCCGCCGGGCCCCGCUCGGCCGCCGGCUCCGGCUGGCGCGCGCCCGACAGAGGCCCAGCAAACUCUGAAUGUUAGUGUCGUCUGAGUACUAUAUAAUAGUUAAAACUUUCAACAACGGAUCUCUUGGUUCUG
rnacentral:misc_RNA from 1 species